GAAAUGCGAUAAGUAAUGUGAAUUGCAGAAUUCAGUGAAUCAUCGAAUCUUUGAACGCACCUUGCGCUCCUUGGUAUUCCUUGGAGCAUGCCUGUUUGAGUAUCAUGAAAUCUUCAAAGUAAAUCUUUUGUUAACUCAAUUGGUUUCUACUUUGGUAUUGGAGGUCUUUGCAGCUUCACACCUGCUCCUCUUUGUUCAUUAGCUGGAUCUCAGUGUUAUGCUUGGUUCCACUCGGCGUGAUGAGUUAUCUAUCGCUGAGGACACUGUAAAAGGUGGCCAAGGUAAAUGCAGAUGAACCGCUUCUAAUAGUCCAUUGACUUGGACAAUACUUUUAUGAUCUGAUCUCAAAUCAGGUAGGACUACCCGCUGAACUUAAGC
rnacentral:misc_RNA from 1 species